rnacentral:misc_RNA from 1 species
GAUGAGAACGUAGCGAAAUGCGAUAAGUAAUGCGAAUUGCAGAAUUUCCGUGAGUCAUCGAAUCUUUGAACGCACAUUGCGCCCACUGGUAUUCCGGUGGGCAUGCCUGUUCGAGCGUCAUUAUCCUCCCUCAAACCCCGGGUUUGGUGUUGGACCCAAGUUGUGUGAACAACUGGUCUUAAAGACAAUGACGGCGUCCGUGGGACCCUCGGUGCAACGAGCUUUUAGGAGCACGCAUCGAGUUGCAAGGACCUUCCGGGCCGGUCUCCUUUACUAUUUUACAAGGUUGACCUCGGAUCAGGUAGGAAUACCCGCUGAACUUAAGCAUAUCAAUAAGCGGAGGA